rnacentral:tRNA from 1 species
CGGGGCGUGGCGCAGUUUGGUGAGCGCGCGGGGUUUGGGACCCCGAGGUCGCCGGUUCAAGUCCGGCCGCCCCGA